GUAGGGGGCUAGCGUUGUCCGGAUUUAUUGGGCGUAAAGAGCUCGUAGGCGGUUGGGCAAGUCACGUGUGAAAUCUCCACGCUCAACGUGGAGGCGCCACGUGAGACUGCCCUGACUAGAGUCCGGUAGGGGAGUGUGGAAUUCCCGGUGUAGCGGUGAAAUGCGCAGAGAUCGGGAGGAACACCCGUAGCGAAGGCGGCACUCUGGGCCGGUACUGACGCUGAGGAGCGAAAGCGUGGGGAGCAAACAGGAUUAGAUACCCUGGUAGUCCACGCCGUAAACGUUGGGCACUAGGUGUGGGGUCCUAUCGACGGAUUCCGUGCCGCAGCUAACGCAUUAAGUGCCCCGCCUGGGGAGUACGGCCGCAAGGCUA
rnacentral:rRNA from 1 species